UACAGGGGGUGCAAACGUUGCUCGGAAUUAUUGGGCGUAAAGGGCGCGUAGGCGGCCACGCAAGUCUGAUGUGAAAUCCCUCGGCUCAACCGAGGAACUGCAUCCGAAACUGCGAGGCUCGAGUCCUGGAGAGGGUAGUGGAAUUCCCAGUGUAGCGGUGAAAUGCGUAGAUACUGGGAAGAACACCGGAGGCGAAGGCGGAUUGCUGGGCCGACACUGACGCUGAGGCGCGAAAGCCAGGGGAGCAAACGGG
rnacentral:rRNA from 1 species